GUUAAAAAUGUGUUUGAAGGCAGUAUGCUUGGUAAAAGUCAUCGCCAUUCUCUAAUCUCGAGUACCCAGGGACACAAUACACUGCGGAAGGCCACAGGGACCUCUGCCCAGGAAAGCCAGAAACAAGCCCUGUGAAAAACAAGCUGCUGUCCCUGCUAGAGGCAUCCUGCAAUCCAUGGAUGUUUAUCACCAAGCCAUUGUUAACAUGAGGAUUCAGUAUCUGUUGGAGGAGCCCCAACUUCUGCUACUAUUAUGUUCUUCAGAUGAGUAGAAGAGAGUGGGGAGGGAGAGAGCAGGAAGAGGAAAGGAAGAAUAAUGUCUUGAAAUUGAUGAUGCAUAUCAUAAAUUAUUACUCAUCCCAUGUUUCCACCCUCGAGAGACCUCCAAACAAUCACCAUGCCACAGUGAACAUUC
rnacentral:lncRNA from 1 species